CAGUCGCCACGGUAAUACGUAGGGUGCGAGCGUUAAUCGGAAUUACUGGGCGUAAAGCGUGCGCAGGCGGUUGUGUAAGACAGGUGUGAAAUCCCCGGGCUUAACCUGGGAACUGCGCUUGUGACUGCACAGCUAGAGUAUGGCAGAGGGGGGUGGAAUUCCACGUGUAGCAGUGAAAUGCGUAGAGAUGUGGAGGAAUACCGAUGGCGAAGGCAGCCCCCUGGGCCAAUACUGACGCUCAUGCACGAAAGCGUGGGGAGCAAACAGGAUUAGAUACCCGCGUAGUCCCUGUCUCUUAUAC
rnacentral:rRNA from 1 species